GGAGAGCUGACCGAGAGGCCGAAGGUGCUCGCCUGCUAAGCGAGUAACGGACAUAAUCCGUUCCGGGGUUCGAAUCCCCGGCUCUCCGCCA
rnacentral:tRNA from 1 species